UGCUGAUGAGGAAUAAGCAUCCUAUCUGGUCCUGUUCUAGACCCAGAAUCAGCAAUUCUGAACCCACUGGGGCUAGUAAGAGAGAAGUUGAGAAUUUACUAAGUUAUGUAAGGGAGCAU
ensembl:snoRNA SNORD22 Small nucleolar RNA SNORD22